rnacentral:rRNA from 1 species
UACGUAGGCAGCGAGCGUUGUUCGGAAUCAUUGGGCGUAAAGCGCACGUAGGCGGCCCAGCAAGUCGGGUGUGAAAGCCCUCGGCUCAACCGAGGAAGUGCAUUCGAAACUACUGGGCUUGAAUACUGGAGAGGAUCGCGGAAUUCCCGGUGUAGAGGUGAAAUUCGUAGAUAUCGGGAGGAACACCAGUGGCGAAGGCGGCGAUCUGGACAGAUAUUGACGCUGAGGUGCGAAAGCGUGGGGAGCAAACGGG